rnacentral:tRNA from 1 species
GGGGCCUUAGCUCAGCUGGGAGAGCGCCUGCUUUGCACGCAGGAGGUCAGCGGUUCGAUCUAGGCUCCA